AUCUGACAUAAUGGGUGUUUCUAACAGUCUUGAACUCAGAAACUAACAGGCUACAUCAGUUUAUCAUUUUGUUGUUAAUGUUAGCUUGGAUUGGCAAUGCCUUGUACUGCUUACCUAUUUGCUCAUCCUUUUAAGGCUUCAGAAUCCUCCAUGCGUAUCAUACAAUUUUAGCUUCUUCCAACUUCAAUUUUUUAUUUUUUUUCCUUUUCCUCAGGUUUGUUCCUACCCCACAGAAUAACCCAUCUGCUUAGUCAUAUGCAUUUGAGAUGCUUAAUGGGGUGAUGGUAUACACCUCAGCUGCCGAUAGCGCCCUGACAUCAUACAUACCAAAUGAAAUUGUUGAUGGCUUGCUAACAUGAGAUCCUUUGUCUCCAUGGCCGGUGGCUUCCAUGGAUGAUGGCCAGUAGCCGGAGGGAGCGUCAAGAAGAAAGAGGCCCGACCUGGUAAGGAUCGUCAAGAAGCAAGAGGCCCAACCUGCCGCCGCCGGCACGGUUUUUCGUCUACUUGGAUUGGGUCAGAUACAUGUAGUUGCAGACCGGCUUAAGCACCACUCUUUUGUAUCUGAUGUGCUACUUCAAACAUGAUCAAAAGAUAGAUAAGGAAUGACUGCAUGAGACACCCCUAUGACCUCUGAGGAUGAUUAUAUAUGUGUAGUGGUUUGGAAAGAGAUAUGCCGCAAGGAACCAAUGAGGGAGAGAAUCAAGUGGGUUCAUGGUGCUUCCUGUAGUGGCAAGAAAGAAGUGGGCAUUCAUUGGGAGCCAAAAAUAAAAGUGGAAGUAUAGGCUUGGAAGCCUAAAUUAAGGGUCUAGCUGUUAAUAGAUCGUGCGUUGCUAAUG